AAAAUAUUAAAGUUAAUAAUUAGAAAAAGUAAUUUUAUAUUUAUUUAAUAAUUAGUGAAGAAAUAAUGAUAUUGAUAAAUUAUUAGUAUUGUAGAAGAAUUAUUUAAAAUGGAUAUAAGUAGAUUAUUUAUUGUACCUUGUGUAUCAGGGUUUAUUAAAAAUUUUUAUAUAUUUUAAAUUUUUAGAAUUUUUAAGAGUGAGAGAAUUAUCUAUUUAAUUGUAAAAUAAAUUUUUAUAAUUUUUUUUUAGUAAUGAAAUGUUAUUCGUUUAAAAAUAUAUCUAAUUUUUAGGGAAAUAAAUUAAAUUUAAUGAUUUGUAUGUUAAUAAUUUUUAAAUAAUUAAUAUUAUAAAUUUUUAAUAUUUUAAGGGAUAAGCUUUAAAAUAAAUAAAUUAAAGUAAGAAUUUGUAUUAAAAUAUAUAUAAUUAUAAAUUUUAAAUAUUAAUAGUUUGUUAUAAUUAAUUUUAAUUUUAAUAUAAUUUUAAUUAAUUUAUAAUUAUUUAUUUAAAUAAUUUUAUUAAUAAUGUUUAAAAUUAAAUAAUGAUAAAAUUAGUAUAAAUUUAAAUUGUAAGUAUAAUUAAUUAUAGGUUAAUUAAAGGAAUUCGGCAAAAUUUUAUUUCGCCUGUUUAAUAAAAACAUGUCUUUUUGAUUAUAAUUUAAAGUCUAAUCUGCCCACUGAAAAUUUAAAGGGCCGCAGUAAUUUGACUGUGCGAAGGUAGCAUAAUAAUUAGUUUUUUAAUUGAAAGCUGGAAUGAAUGAUUGGACGAGAAUAAAGCUAUCUCUAUUUAAUUUAAUUAGAAUUUAAUAUUUAAGUUAAAAAGCUUAAAUAUUAUUUAAAGACGAGAAGACCCUAUAGAGUUUAAUAUUAAAAAUUUAUUUAAUUAUUAGAUUUAUUAUUUAAAUGAUAAUUAAAAUAUUUUGUUGGGGUGAUAGAAAAAUUUAUUUAACUUUUUUAUUAUUUAAACAAAAAAUUUUGUAUAUUUGAUCUUAAGUAUAGAUUAAUUGAUUAAAUUACCUUAGGGAUAACAGCGUAAUUUUUUUGGAGAGUUCUUAUUAAUAAAAAAGAUUGCGACCUCGAUGUUGGAUUAAGAUUAAGUUUUAAUGUAGAAGUUAUAAAUUUUAAGUCUGUUCGACUUUUAAAAUCUUACAUGAUCUGAGUUUAAACCGGUGUAAGCCAGGUUGGUUUUUAUCUUAAAUAGUUUAUUUUAUUUUAGUACGAAAGGACCAAAUAAA
rnacentral:rRNA from 1 species